rnacentral:misc_RNA from 1 species
GAAACUUAAAUAGCCUUGGUCGGCAGUAGCUAUUUCGGCUGCCGAAACAAUGGUUUUCGGCAGCCGAACUAGGAAAUUUUUAGAAUUCUCUGUUCGAACUGCUAAAAAUCUUCACUCCCAAAAUAAAACCAACACAUGUUUAAAGCUCUAAAAACCCAAAAUCUAACAUGCUCAUAAACCUUAAAACUCUUAACUAGUUUCAAGAAACCCCAAAAUCAAGACAUGCAUCAACCAAAAUUUUAAAAUCCAUAAAAAAAAUCCAUUAAUCAUCAAAGAUUUCAACAAUUAAAACUAAAUUCAAAUGUUCAAAUCUUCAAUUCAAUAUAGAAUUUCCAACUCUAACAUUAUACUAACUUUAAAGAAAUAAACUCGUAACAUGCAUCCAUAGUUCCCUUAACUUUUAAGAAUCCUAAAUUCAAAUUGCUAAAAGAAAAGGAAUUCCAAACCAAAAUACUACUUCAUUGCUCAAAGCUGCAACUCAUGCACUUAAAUCACUUAAUUGGACCCGAAGAAAAAAAGAAACAUUUAGUAGUAACCUCACAUACAAACAACAAAACUUUUCUUCCUUGAAGCUUUAGCUGUACUCUUUGCUCUUGCACCUUAACAGGAUUGUAGGCACCAAAACUUGUUCAAAAGAAGAAAAAUUAUAGAAAAGAAUGAAAAUCUGGGAAGGAUUUGUUCAAUCCUCAGCUGCAUAUAGUAGUAGAGAAAGAAGUUGGUAGUGAGAAAAAUUUUGAAUUUCCUUUGAAGAAAAACGAGCCAUUUAAACCUUUUAUACCCUCGGUUGUAUAGGGCUUUUGGCUUUGGCUGUCCAAAAAAGAGACCUUAUACUUGCAAAAAUUUCAACCCUUAAACUCUCUAACAUAACACUUGUGCUACAUAUAGCACCUUCCAUUAUUUCUGCCGUCCUUAAAACUCUAAGUUUUACUGGAUUUUCCCAACAACAGCAAAAAUUCCGGCAUAGAAAAAUGGUGGAUGUUACAUUAGUAGUGAAGGAAACCAAAUUACACUAGCUAUCAUGCAUGAGGCUUCAUUUUGUACCACAUUCUAGUAUUCCCACAAUACUUAGG